rnacentral:lncRNA from 1 species
GUCAGAACACAUCCCCUGAUUAGUCUAAUGUCCAUUUUUAAUUCACAUUAAACAGCUGAUGGAAGCUUACACAGAUUCUUGAGCUGAAUUUUCAUUAAUGCAAAUAUCAAAUGCAAAUAAGUUUAAUGGAAACCUCGCUAGAGUCCUCCUGAUAGUCAAAGGUUCCCACUUCAGUGUCAGAAUUAAAUGUACAUAUGUAAUUCUUUCCUUUUCCCAGGCCGAUAUGAUCUCAACUUGCCAGAGUUGAAAUGUGAGGUAUGCGAAGCCACAUGGCAUGCUGGAGUGGAUGAGCUGGUCCAUAAUGACUUCUGGCCUGCUACUUCACAAUUUUCUACAGUAUAUGCUACAGACAUCCUAUUUUCCUUUGAGGAGUUGAAGAUGGCAGCACCUGGGAUGUCCAGCCUAGCAUUUCUUAGAAUGCUAGAUAAACGAACUGUCCGCUUUGGCCGUACUGGAAAGAUCAUAGCAGACAGCUUCAGAAAAAGCUUUUUGGAGUUGGAGGCAGUCCGAUUUGAAGUGGACAAACUCAUCCAGGAAGACCACUUUAACUGCCCAGCAUGCACCCCACACAUGCUUGCGGUCUCUGUUGAUGGAAACCGUAAGCACUAUAGAUUCAAGAGUGCAGCAAGAUCAGAGGAACAAGCCAUCUUCGAUGGUGUAUUCAUAGCCAAGGACGAUGAUGUAGCAAGAUUCGUAGACUAUGUCCAUUCCUCAACCAGACAUGUAAACUUGCAAAACAUCACUAUAUUUACUUGUAAAACCAUGUCCUACAUAGGAGUUUGUUUGAACUGUUAGCCAUCUUCCAUGUUUUAGGCCUCUGGCAGAGGUGUCUGUGGGGGACAGUGGUCAGCAGCACGAGAAACGUCACAGAAGUCCUCCAGCAAAAUAGAUGAGGAGGGCCUAGAACUUGCAGUUUGCCGGCAUGGUGUUCUUCUUUGUGCCCUUAAUAAGUUCAGGGGGGAGGUUUUUGCUUACCCCCUGUACCUCCAGAAAAAAAUGGCUUGUAAGCCGGUGAAAUUCUUUGCUAUGGAUGUUGCGUGCAAGUACUGGCCUUACCUCCAGAGAGUGAAUGAGAGAUGCCCUGAGCUUCAAGAUCUGCUCUCCAUGAAGCCAUUUCUAUCAGUGUUUCAUGCCAAAGCCCACGACUUCAAAUGUGAGGUAAGAAAAUGUGACUUUUCAUGUGAUGUUCUUUCCCUAAACAUAAGAUUGUUGCCACUUAGAUUUAUUAUUUUUUUCUUUUUUAUUUGAAGGUAAAAUGGAGUGGGGCAUACCAGGAGGGGGCUGGUUUGACUCGUGGGGAGGAGGUGGAGCAAUGCAAUGCCUUCCUCUCGAGAAUUGCUGUUACCACAAAGCACAUGUCAAAAGCAGGUAAUGUAAACACACACAGUGUGUAACUAGUUUGAUCAAUCAAUCAAUCAAUCACCUUUAUUUAUAUAGUGCUUUAAACAAAAUACAUUGCGCCAAAGCACUGAACAACAUUCAUUUGGAAAACAGUGUCUCAAUAAUGCAAAAUGAUAGUUAAAGGCAGUUCAUCAUUGAAUUCAUUGAUGUCAUCUCUGUUCAGUUGAAAUAGUGUCUGUUUUAAUUUGCAAUCAAGUCAACGAUAUCGCUGUAGAUGAAGUGACCCCAACUAAGCAAGCCAGAGGCGACAGCGGCAAGGAACCGAAACUCCAUCGGUGACAGAAUGGAGAAAAAAACCUUGGGAGAAACCAGGCUCAGUUGGGGGGCCAGUUCUCCUCUGACCAGACGAAACCAGUAGUUCAAUUCCAGGCUGCAGCAAAGUCAGAUUGUGCAGAAGAAUCAUCUGUUUCCUGUGGUCUUGUCCUGGUGCUCCUCUGAGACAAGGUCUUUACAGGGGAUCUGUAUCUGGGGCUCUAGUUGUCCUGGUCUCCGCUGUCUUUCAGGGCAGUAGAGGUCCUUUCUAGGUGCUGAUCCACCAUCUGGUCUGGAUACGUACUGGAUCCGGGUGACUGCAGUGACCCUCUGAUCUGGACACAGACUGGAUCUGGUGGCCACGGUGACCUCGGAACAAGAGAGAAACAGACUAAUAUUAGUGUAGAUGCCAUUCUUCUAAUGAUGUAGUACAUCGGGUGUUAUGUGAAGUGUUCCGGUUCCAGUUUACCUAAUUAAUGCAGCCUAAAAAUCCUUUAACGGAUUUGGAUAUUAAAAGCAUAUUAGUAUGUUAUGUGUAUGCCGGGUUAAAGAGAUGGGUCUUUAAUCUAGAUUUAAACUGCAAGAGUGUGUCUGCCUCCCGAACAAUGUUAGGUAGGUUAUUCCAGAGUUUAGGCGCCAAAUAGGCGCCUAAACUCUUUGAUAAAGUGACUUUUCUCACACUUCUAUGAGAAGUGUUCAAACUACAGCAAAAUUUGAUCCU